AUACUCUUAUCAUUACCACACCAAUCUGAGCCAUCAUCAUUUGCAUUUACUAAAAUCGCAUAUAAAUUUGGGUCACUUCUGUUUUCCAGCCUGUACUGGCAUCACAUUUUAGGCCGAUAUUUCAGACAAGCUGCUCUCCUUCAGCAAAGGAAGAACUGGGACAGAACCUCUCUGGUCCCUCAAGGGGAAAGGCUGAAAGAGGAGAAGGACGUGGAAGAAGAGAAAGAACCCACCAAAAAGAGGCCCUAUGACGAGAUCAGAUGGCAAGGAAGAGAGAUAAGGAUCCAUUUCAACAGGUGUUGGAAGUUGCUGGUGUGGCAAUGGACAUGGAGCCCCGGUCUAGUUCAUGCAUCUGGUAGAUCCAGAACCAACCAUGAUGCAGCAGGAAGCAGACGCCCCUGGGGCUGGAAUGCACGACAGAAGCAGGGGUGGGGGCAGCAUAUAAUCACUGAAUUUACCCUUUUAGCUCUUCCUUACUUUUGUACUCAGUUCUCCGUGUUACAUUCCCCCUGCUUGAAAUACCUAGAAUGGUAGCAAUUAUCCUGCCUGGACCCUGAGUGGCAUCCUUUCAUGCAGUUUAAUACAAAAAGAACAUCAAACCUUAAAAAACUUUGGUGUGUAUGCUUCCAGACUUUCCCCCUAGGAUUUUACCAUACAAAUGAUUUAAUACUGUGUGUAUUUACGGAAGUAUUAUCAUUCAUGUGCAUUCUUCCACAACUUGAUUUAAAAAAAAAAUGACAACCAGUCUUGGAGUUCUCGACAUGGUGUUGUAAAUAUGAGCUAAUUGCAUUUAAUCGAUGCCUUGUGUUCUAACAGCCAUUUAUCUACUGAUGGCCAUUCAGGUUUUCAACAUGUCUGCUCUUAAUAAGGCGCUGUGCUGAACAUUCUUUUUUUUUUUUUUUUAAAGAUUUUAUUUAUUUAUUUAUUUUUUAUUUGACAGAGAUAGAGACAGCCAGCGAGAGAGGGAACACAAGCAGGGGGAGUGGGAGAGGAAGAAGCAGGCUCAUAGCAGAGGAGCCUGAUGUGGGGCUCGAUCCCAUAACGCCGGGAUCACGCCCUGAGCCGAAGGCAGAUGCUUAACCGCUGUGCCACCCAGGCGCCCCUGUGCUGAACAUUCUUAAACGUGUGCCCAUGUUUCCCUGUGGUCAUUAACCAGACGUGGGAUCGCAGAGUUGAAGGGUGUACACAUUGUAGAUUUGACUACAGUUUGCCCGAUUGUUCCUCAAAGUGGCCGUACCGAUUUGCACUCCCACCCAGGGGCAGGAGAAUGUCCUCUCCAAUUCUUGCUAUUUC
rnacentral:lncRNA from 1 species